AUGAUUCUAGUGAUAACAUGUGGCUACAAAAAGAAGUUGUAUUGCUUCUCAAAUAAUAUAUAGGGGAUAUCGCACGACCUAUAUCAACUUUUUAUCUAUAAUAUUGAUCUGGUUUGGAUCAGAUCAAUUGAAUUAUUUUUUAAACAAGAUCAAUAUUUGGUCAACUGUCGGUAGAACUAUUCUCUGUGUAUAUAUAUAUAUUUUAAGAUAUCGCGUAUAAUGUGGAGAUUAUAAUAUGUCAAAAUCAUAUAAUACACUGACUAUAAAUUAAAAUGCAUCCAUGUGAGCAGAGCAAUUACAACAAACAGAAGAAAGAAAAAUAUCUAUCCACUGAAACAAUCUUGAUCAAGCUAAUAAUCAAUGGCCAUAUCUCACGCCUUGCAGCCUUUGCUUCUUCUCCUUCUGUCACUUUUUUUCUUACCAGCUGCUUUGGGUGCCUUCGUCAAUUUUACGAACUGCAGAGUAUCGAAACCCAACCGUCGCGUCAAUGUCACUAGUAUAAGUAUCGAUCCAUACCCGCUUCCUCUUUCCCGGUUAACAUACUUUACGAUAACCGCUGAAACAAACUUUAACAGGCCUGUUCGUUUUACGGUAGCUGACGCAGCGGUGAAUGACCAAAAUUAUAACUGACUUCUUGCCCAAGUAUGUGGAGAACACCGCUGGCGGCCGUACUUUCAACCAUUAAAAUCAGACGCAGCUCUCAUUUAACUGCGUCACGGAAACACCGGCGGCUCUUGUAAAAACUAAUCGCAGCGGCAACUCGUUUGUUUUCCACCAUUUUUUUUUCCGAGUUUGAUGUGUAAAUUUUGAGAAACCGAAAGCUGCAUCAGCAACCGUAAAAAGAACAGGCCUAACAUAACAGAGGGAGAAAUCGUGUUUAAUACGUUCAGUGUGCCAUUGGUUCUUAAUCCGGUGCACUUAACAUACCCCCUCUGUCCUUUUGUGAAGGCAUGCCCUGUUACAGCUGGCCCUACGGUAAUAAAACUGGAUUUCGUUAAUUCCGGGGCGGAUGAUCUGAGAAUUGUAAGUUUUUCUUUACACUAACACUAGCUUGAGACGAGUCCCAUAAUCUAUGCAUUUCAAACCUAUUGAUGAUAUGAUUUUCUGAUGACCCUUCUUUAUACAAACCAGAAAGAAUAUUUUGGUGAAAUAAGGAUGUUCGAGGAUACUAAUAUAUUCCAGACUAUGUGCGUCACCUUCAGAUAUCUGGUCCCAGGUGGCCUUCAAACUUUUUUUAAGAACUUAAAUAAAAAUUGUUUAGUGGCCUAUGCCCAGAUCCGGUCCUGCGUAAUCCUUUGUUUCAAGACUUUUAACGUCUCUCUCAUUAUUCCUUGUAUUAUGUAAUUUUCCUUUUUAGCUAUCCUGUGUCGUCCAACAAUAAAUAAGGGUUGUUGUAUACACAUGUACACCCUUGACCCCAUGUCCAUGUUAUGUAUCUCUGUUUUUUAUUUGGUUUGCACCUUUGAUUUUUUUACUUUUGUGAAAGCUGUGGUUUGCAUCUUUGAUAUUUUUACUUUUUUUUUGUCUUUUUUAAGCAUUCUAUAAUUUUAUUGUUAUCGUUUUUGAUAGAUUUAUUGAAAUAAAAGAAGUUUCAGAUGGAACAAGAAAUAAUUACAUUCAAAAGCAGUUUCAAGUUUUUUAUUUCACAAUAUAUCAGUUUGUGCUAUUAGGGUAGUUUUUACUAACCAAACUCACUUUCAAUUUAAAUCAAACCAAAUGAAUUUGUAAUAAAAGAAAAUAAGUAACUAUAUUUAAUAGAUGUUCUUUUUUUAAGGGAGAUUUCAUCACAACCAUUCAUUUCAUUUAUAUAUUUGAUGGUCAAAAUUCAGCAAAAAUGAAGUGGGUCUCUCUUCCUUUCUCUUUCGUCUUCUUCCUUUUACAUUCUCAAUUUUUUAGAAAAUUGAAAUUUGCUUCUUAAUUCUCUUUUUUCAAACUUUUUUUUACGAAAUCAUUUUCUUUAUUACUCGAUCUAUCUUUUGAGAUAUGUGAAGGUGCAUCUCCAAUGAUGGUGUAAUGGUCAACAACGAAGAUGUUGGCGUCUUUGACAUAAACGACGGCGGAGACAUAGAUGAAGGUGAAGACGAUGUAGAAGACCUAUUACCCACCAUGAACCAGAUUGUGAAAAGCAAGCACAAAGACAUUGAAGAGAUUAUUUCAUUCCUUGAUGAGAUUAUAAAGCCUAGUUUAUACAAUUUCAUUGCUCAUUCUACAAGCUAGUGUGGAUUUCAAGGUUUAGCAUAGUUUUUUUUUAGAAUUAAGGUUUAGCAUAGUUACUGCAACAAAAUUGAUUAGUGUGUGUUUUCAUACUAGCUUUAUGAUGGGGCUUAGCUUGAUUAAUUUUUGGUUGUUGUACUUGUACAUAUGUAUACUAUCAUAUUUAUCGUACAUAUGUACACAUAUGUAUUUUACACAUGUACGCUAAUACUUUCUCGUACACAUGCAUAGUGAAGAUGAAAAUGACAAUGGCGAUGAUGAUGUUGAUGAUGGUGCUGGUAAGUUGAGUUAUCAUAUAUGGUUGAUAUAUAAUCAAGGUUGUCAAUUUCAUCUUUUUGUCGUCUGGAUCUUCUGAACUCAUAUAAUACUCUGGUUGUAGGUUGUUCCGUUUAAUUCUCUGUUUUUAGGUUGUUCUAUUCGCGAAAGUGAAUGUAUUUUGACACUAAAACAGUAAAACGUAUUUAGGUUGUUCAAUUUGAUAUCCUUGAGUUUAUGGGUUUGGAAUUA